UGCCUUGCGGGCUUGAGUCCCCACUCCAGUCCGCUCCGACGAGGCCUGGAUCCCGCUCCCAGGCAGUGGCACGCGCCGGACUUUCCGGUCACGUCCCGUCAUCCCCCACUCCCCACCCCCGCGGUCUGUUUGCCAGCCCGCCACAGGCGGCUGAGGGCUGAGCGUGUAUUCCUACGCUCACCAGGGACCUCCUUGUACCCGCCUUCUUAGCGGUUCUCUCCCGCCUCUCACGCCGUCCUGGGCCCGGUGUCCUCCCUGCGCCGGUCCUCUCUCGCUUUCACUCCCACCCUCACGCUUCAGGAGCGCCACCCUCCGACCUGGGCUCCCCGGCUCGCACGAGCCCCUGAUAUCUCUCCCCUCUCGGUCCGACGUCUGCUCGCGCGUCGACCCUGCCGCGCCCUAACCCCUGCCUCUGGCGGCGCCCCCUAAACACCACCCCCCCGCAAGCGCGCGCGUCGGGUGGGGGCGUCGCGGCGCUUCCCCGCGUUCGGGGAGCCCGAGGCGCUUCGCUGAGGGCGGGGCGGCGACCGGGCCUGUCGGCAGCGAGCUCCCGCUCGGCCUCGGGGGCUCCAGAGCGGUCCGCAGUUCAGCGAGCUCCCGCCGCCCCACGGGCUAUUGUUUCUGCUGCGGUUGUGAGCUCCCGGCGCGCUUUCUCGCCUUGUUCGUUAGUAUUUUCCUCCUUUGAACAGGGUUCCGCAAACAGGUCGGUCGUGGAGGUAAACAUUUUUAGGUGUGGUUAACGCCGAGCCCCGAGCCCCCGAGCCCUCGAGCCCCCAGGGGCAAUCAGGCGUGGUUGUACACGUUCGCCGACACACGACACACUCAAGACAUCCCGUCCAGGACCCUCAUUGAGCCUGGUGCCUGGUCUGGAGGUGCAAGGGGGAAAGACGUGGUUACCAGAACCCUGAGAGGAAGGAGAACCUGAAGGAGGGCUGCCUGGCAGGACAGCUUUGGUGGAGAACACAGCUACAGCCAGCCUUGUGGAGAGGAAGGGGAGGGGGGCAAGGCACCUGCUAUGUUACAACUGGGGAUAACGACCUCCUCCAAAAGAACUAAAUGGGCCCCUGGACUCCCUUCAAGUGUUAAUUUACCUAACAUGAGGAAGAUAUGGCACAAGAAUUUUUGGAAACCUGCCCAAGGUCAGACAUCUAGUAAGUA